rnacentral:rRNA from 1 species
GUCUACAUUACGAUACCCCUGUAGUCCCAGCCGUAAACUAUGCUCGCUAGGUGUCAGGCAUGGCGCGACCGUGUCUGGUGCCGCAGGGAAGCCGUGAAGCGAGCCACCUGGGAAGUACGGCCGCAAGGCUGAACUUAAAGGAAUUGGCGGGGGAGCACCACAACGGGUGGAGCCUGCGGUUUAAUUGGACUCAACGCCGGGAAGCUCACCGGAUAAGACAGCGGAAUGAUUGCCGGGCUGAAGACUCUGCAUGACUAGCUG